UACGUAGGGUGCAAGCGUUGUCCGGAUUUAUUGGGCGUAAAGAGCUCGUAGGCGGCUCAGUAAGUCAGGUGUGAAAACUCCAGGCUCAACCUGGAGACGCCACUUGAUACUGCUGUGGCUAGAGUCCGGUAGGGGAGCAUGGAAUUCCUGGUGUAGCGGUGAAAUGCGUAGAUAUCUGGAGGAACACCGGUGGCGAAGGCGGCAUCCUGGACCAAUAUUGACGCUGAGGAGCGAAAGCCAGGGGAGCAAAGCGGG
rnacentral:rRNA from 1 species